rnacentral:rRNA from 1 species
AUUGAACGCUGGCGGCAUGCCUUACACAUGCAAGUCGAAACGGCAGCACGGGAGCUUGCUCCUGGUGGCGAGUGGCGAACGGGUGAGUAAUACAUCGGAACGUACCCUGAAGUGGGGGAUAACGUAGCGAAAGUUACGCUAAUACCGCAUAUUCUGUGAGCAGGAAAGAGGGGGAUCGCAAGACCUCUUGCUUUAGGAGCGGCCGAUGUCGGAUUAGCUAGUUGGUGAGGUAAAGGCUCACCAAGGCGACGAUCCGUAGCGGGUCUGAGAGGAUGAUCCGCCACACUGGGACUGAGACACGGCCCAGACUCCUACGGGAGGCAGCAGUGGGGAAUUUUGGACAAUGGGCGCAAGCCUGAUCCAGCCAUGCCGCGUGAGUGAAGAAGGCCUUCGGGUUGUAAAGC